rnacentral:lncRNA from 13 species
GUGCAGUUAGGAUGACUCACCAUUCACCCAAGUAAACUGUAUUUUUCACUUUUCGGUGAAACCGCUUUCUCUUAUACAGUCAGAGCUGUCAGCCCACACAGCAGAGGAGAGUCUGAGGCUUUGGUUUGAUGAACACAUUUGUGAUGGGACAGAGCCCACGGCUCUCUGCCGUGCUGGUGGCAGAGGCUUUAUACCGUGUGAUGAUGACCUGGACGUGGAAGCAGGAGGGAGCUUCUAAUGAGCGGAUUCUGAGUCUCCAUCCUGUCCUGGCUCGGCGCUGGGGUUCAGGUCCCAGAGGAGACUCUCCCCACGCGGCCUCCCCUUCCCUGCGAUGCUGUCACCUCGGCCCGGAAGUGAACCACACAGCCAGGCCAAUGACCCCGGAAGUAGAAACUGCGCAGCCAGGCCGAGGACCCUCCGUCCAUGCUGAAGGCUCCAGGGCCCUCAGUCCUCCAUUUCUGUAGCGGUAACUCGGUAACGUGUUACCUGCGCGCCGGGGGCGGCCGCUACACGCCUUCUCAGGGGACCGACGGCGUUUCCGUUCCCAGCACUCGCGCACUCAGCGGUUCCUCCUUCCUCGGUCUGACACGCCUUGACUCACUGCUGACUCCAUGAUGGUGGCCGGGCUGCAUCUCACAGAUGAAACCACGCACAGCGCAUGCCCAGCACUCAGUUGACUGCGCAUUUCUCUAAAGCUUCAAACUAGAGUAGCUCAGGGAUUAUGUGCAAUCUGCGAAAAAAGUUUGUAUAUCCUGUUACUGAUCUCCUGAGCUAUGAACUCCCUAAGGAAAAGAAAAUCUUUCUCUAAAGAGACUGGCUUGUUUUCAAGCUUAGGAACACCAGCCAGAGGGCUCAGGCUAAGUUUAGACAACUAAAAAUAAAGUGAAAGCUUGAGUUUUAAAAUUACGAUGA